AGAACGAACGCUGGCGGCAGGUCUAGGCAUGCAAGUCGAACGGAUGACAGAGAGCUUGCUCUCUGAAGUCAGUGGCGCACGAGUGAGUAACGCGUGGGAAACUGCCCUUCGACUGGGGAAUAACGUUUGGAAACGAACGCUAAUACCGCAUACGCCCGCAAGGGGAAAGAUUUAUCGGUGAUGGAUGUGCCCGCGUUGGAUUAGCCAGUUGGUGGGUAAUGGCCUACCAAAGCAAUGAUCCAUAGCUGGUCUGAGAGGACGAUCAGCCACGCUGGAACUGAGACACGGUCCAGACUCCUACGGGAGGCAGCAGCUAAGAAUAUUGGUCAAUGGGGGAAACCCUGAACCAGCCCAUGCCGCGUGAAUGAAGAAGGCCUUCGGGUUGUAAAGUUCUUUUAGUCGUGAAGAUGAUGACAGUAGCGACAGAAAAAGCACCGGCUAACUUCGUGCCAGCAGCCGC
rnacentral:rRNA from 1 species